AAUGAACGCUGGCGGCGUGGUUAAGACAUGCAAGUCGAACGGUUUUUCAGGUGUAGCAAUACAUUUGAAGAGCAGUGGCGAACGGGUGCGUAACACGUGAACAAUCUACCUUUUAGUGUGGAAUAGCUCGGCGAAAGCCGGAUUAAUACCGCAUGUGGUUGCCUCUCGCAUGAGAGACAUACUAAAGUCAGGGACCGCAAGGCCUGACGCUAUUAGAGGAGUCGCGGCCUAUCAGCUAGUUGGCGAGGUAACGCUCACCAAGGCUAAGACGGGUAGCUGAUCUGAGAGGAUGAUCAGGCCACACUGGAACUGAAGACACGGUCCAGACACCGUACGGGUGCAGCA
rnacentral:rRNA from 1 species